rnacentral:rRNA from 1 species
AGCGAACGCUGGCGGCGUGCCUAACACAUGCAAGUCGAACGUGAAAGGGAGCAAUCCUGAGUAAAGUGGCGUACGGGUGAGUAACGCGUAGGUAAUCUACCCCAAAGUCUGGAAUAACCUGCCGAAAGGCGGGCUAAUACUGGAUAGAGCGAUGGAAUCCGUAAUUGGGUUUUUCGGGAAAGGGAGCUCGCAAGAGCCUUCGUUCUGGGAUGAGCCUGCGUCUCAUUAGCUAGUUGGUGGGGUAAUGGCCCACCAAGGCUUUGAUGGGUAGCUGGUCUGAGAGGAUGAUCAGCCACACUGGAACUGAAACACGGUCCAGACUCCUACGGGAGGCAGCAGUGGGGAAUCUUGCGCAAUGGACGAAAGUCUGACGCAGCCACGCCGCGUGAGUGAAGAAGGCCUUCGGGUUGUAAAGCUCUGUCGCCCGGGACGAAAAUUUAUUAGGUGAAUAGCCUAGUGAACUGACGGUACCGGGAGAGGAAGCACCGGCUAACUCCGUGCCAGCCGCCGCAGUAAAAC